GGGCCUAUAGUUAAAUGGUAUAACACCUCAUUUGCAAUGAGGAGUUGGCAGUUCGAUUCUGCCUAGGUCCA
rnacentral:tRNA from 1 species